AGUGAACGCUGGCGGCGUGCCUAAUACAUGCAAGUCGAACGAAGUGGCGCACGCGUGAGUAAUAUAUAGUUAAUCUGCCCUACACAGAGGAACAACAGUUGGAACCGACUGCUAAUACCUCAUAGUGUAGGAUGAGACUAUAUCGUAUCAGCUAGUUGGUAAGGUAAUGGCGUACCAAGGCUAUGACGCGUAACUGGUCUGAGAGGAUGAUCAGUAACAUUGGAACUGAGGCACGGGCCAAGCACCUACGGCAGGCGGCAGAAAGGUAAAGUACGCAAUGGGGGAGACCCUGACGGGGCUGCGCCGCGUGAAGGAUGACACUUUUCGGAGCAUAAACUCCUUUUAUCAGGAAAGCGGUACCUGAUGAAAAAGCACCGGCUAACUCCGUGCCAGCAGCCGCGGUAAUUC
rnacentral:rRNA from 1 species